CCCUGCGCCCCCUCGGUCCCUCUCGCCCCGUCCCCAUCCUGCCAAUCCCUACCUGGGGCCGGACCAGUAUUUGGGGAUGUUGGGGUGCUCCUCAACGAUGCUGGUUUGUGGAUUCUUUGGUGCUUGGGUGGGGUCGGUGGGGACAACGGGGACAGUGGGGAUGAUGGGGGCAGUGGGGCAGGGGGCUGCAUACCCUCCUCUUGGCCGCUGUUUCCAGCUCUGCCCCAAAUUCUUGUGCUGGAGGUACUUUUGGUGGUGGGGGGUCACCCACCCCUCACUGGCUCUGGGGACGUGCCACCUUUUGCCCUGUGCUGGCCAUGAGUACUGGAGUCCCUCCAUCCCUACUGGAGACCCCCUGCCCCAUCUGUGCAGGGACAUCCCCCCCCAACUUGGGUCAUGAUCUGGAGGGGCUGGACCCCCUGGCUGAGGGGGCAGCAGGGUUGCUUGUCCGGAUCCGACGUUCCUGGGGUGAAGAGAGGGAACUGAUGGAGCUGGUGGCUCCCGUGGGGCCGGUGUGGCACCCUGACCUGGCACCCUGGUCCAGCACGGGCACUGAUGGAUGGUUCAAAUUAAAAGGGAAUAAACCAUCGUGGAAGAUAAACACCUGACGAGGCCGCAGGGAUAGAAAUGAGAAUUGGGGGAAAUUCAAGCCCAUAAAUCACAUGGGUCCCUGCCUCAGCUGGGGGUGUCCCAAGGGGUCCCUGGCAUGGCACGGCCAAGGGAUCCAGCUCGCCCCCAGCCCCCGUUCCUGCCCGGCUGCCUGCGGGUGCCAGGAGAGGCUUCUCACCCUCCAUCCCUGGCUCCAUCCCUCCUGCCCGGCCUAUUAAACAACAAUGUUUAAUGGAGGGUGAAGAGUUAUGGCCCCGCAGAGGUUCCUCCGCUCCGCAGCCAGAGGAUGAGCUCCCGUUCCCCAUCACCCGUGGCCCCGUCCGUGGAGAUCCCUGUCUGUCAGACCGGGUGCACCCGUAGUCACGGAGGGCUGCGAUUUUUUUGGGGGUGGGGGCUGUGGCUGGGCACGUGCAUCACGGCUGCCACGCAAAGCAAAGCCUUCCCCGGGACCGUGCCCCGAUGCCGUGGGUCCCCCCCUCCACGGCCCCUGCGGGCACCCACCACAGGGCAGCCCGAGCCGGCGCUGGGUGCCAAAACUGCCGAAGGUGAAUUACCUGCUGGUUCCUGAUCUUGCAGCCAUGGCGGUUUUGGAGACAGGUAAUUAAUUACCUUCUGCUUUUAAUUGGUGUUGGGGGGGGUCGGGAUGCUGUUGGCAGUGCCCGUGUGCCUAUGAGGGGACCGGAGGGUCGUGGGUCCGUGUCUCGUGUCGGCAGCAUGGAUGCAUCCCGGCUUGUGCCGGGGACUCAAAACCCUUGGGACGUGAGUCCAUCGGCUCUGGCAGCUCCCUGGAAUGAUGGAAUUAAAGUUACAAGGAAGAAGAAGGAGGAGGAAGAAGGACAGUGCUCCGGGAGGCUCCGGCGAGGUGGAUGUCAAUGGAGCCAUAUGGAGAAAACCCGGGAUGCCGGAUCUGGCCCGCGAUGCCUUGCCGACAUCCAACACACCCCAUCUCCCCCUCCCCAAACGCAACCCUUGCUGGGACCCGCGGGUGCUGCCCGCCGAGCCUGGUGCGGCGAUGUCCCCCGGCACCCUCGGGGACAGCGGGGACCCGUCCGCCGCGGGUGGUGGCAAUCCUCCGGCAGCUUACACGGGCGUUUAUUUGCAGCAGCGGGUUUAAGCGGCGUGUUGGCAGCCGGCGAGAUGCGUGUGUCACCCAGCGAUUAGACGGUAUCGCCUUAUCAGCGGCAGCAGCACCGGGGGCU